AACAACUUUGUCACCUACUUAUGCCCUGGGUUCCUGCCUGACCUCGUCUCUCUCUGGCCAGGCUGUCCUCACUCAGUGUCAGCCAGUUCCCCAAGCCAUGGCAUUGCUGUGUCAAUGGGUCCUAGCCCUGUGUCUUGGUUAGCAGGUGCCACUGCCUUCAAGGAAACUUCAUGCAUGAAAACGGAGGUCAUCUAACUGAGCCGCUGUUCUUUUCCUUUUCUUCGUCUUCACAAGGAACCAAAAGGAAAUGUAUAAAUUGAGAAUUAAAUUUCAUAACCAAAGAAUUACAAAAAGUAUAUUGACCCUAUUUAAUAAAGGAUUAUCAU
rnacentral:lncRNA from 1 species